UAUGAUGUGAAUUCUGAAGGAUAGUUUUUGCAAAGCAACUCUAUAGGAGUAAGCAUCUUCUUUUCACUGAUCUUGUCAUAUUUCUGCUUUUUAGUACCAGCUUUCAAGCCUUGCCAGGGAAGGCUUCCUCUCAGAAAAUACAUAAGCACAUAACCAAGAGAUUCCAGAUCAUCCCUUCUGCUUUGCUCAACUCCAAGAUGUGUGUUAACACUAGCAUAGCGAGCUGUGCCUGUGAGAUUUUUGUUUUCCCU
rnacentral:misc_RNA from 1 species